AUUGAACGCUGGCGGCAUGCCUAACACAUGCAAGUCGAACGGCAGCGCGGGUAGCUUGCUACCUGGCGGCGAGUGGCGGACGGGUGAGUAAUAUGUAGGAAUCUACCUAGAGGAGCGGGAUAACUUGGGGAAACUCAAGCUAAUACCACAUAAUACCCACGGGGGAAAGCAGGGGACCUCAGGGCCUUGCGCCUUAUGAUGAGCCUACAUCGGGUUAGCUUGUUGGUGGGGUAAAGGCCUACCAAGGCGACGAUCCGUAGCUGGUCUGAGAGGAUGAUCAGCCACACUGGAACUGAGACACGGUCCAGACUCCUACGGGAGGCAGCAGUGGGGAAUAUUGGACAAUGGGGGGAACCCUGAUCCAGCAAUGCCGCGUGUGUGAAGAAGGCCUUAGGGUUGUAAAGCACUUUCAGUGGGGAGUAAAGUCAAUACCUUUGCUCAUUGACGUUACCCGCAGAAGAAGCACCGGCUAACUCCGUGCCAGCAGCCGCGGUAA
rnacentral:rRNA from 1 species